rnacentral:lncRNA from 1 species
AUCACAAGUGGCAACCUGGGAUUCGAUCGAAGCAGAAUCAUUUUUGAGUUUUGACAGACAAAGAAAAACGUGGGUCGUAUGAUUAAAAUCUAUAGGCAAAGAAUCUCGUUUCGAAUUGACUGAAUCUGCUUAACAAAUUCUGUGCUGUAAAAUUUCAGUUUUUAGGUAAUUAUAACGAACUAUGUUAACGACUGACGAGGCCAUUAAAUACCAUAAACUGGACGGCACUGUGCGAAACACCAAACACUCCAGGAAGAAAUCCCCUGUACAGACCUCGAAUCCCUUCGUAACGAAAAAGUAGGAGCCCCAAGUGCAUCCGGCCGUCAGGAUGCCCAGUGUUACGCCUCUGUACAAACCGUGAACGCCAUCGGUUCUCGUGAUGCUCGUCAGGACGUCGACGAGGCCGCCGUAAUGAGGACGCUGAACACCAGCACAGAUCAAACGACUGCCACUUACUUUUCGGAGAGAAAAAUACAGAACAUGGGGAUGCAGGAUGGUAGUGGAAACUACUCCGCCUGCAAUUCCGGCUACGAGGUGUUCGUAUUUGAUCUGCUGAUAGCGACGGAAUAAGGCCGUCAUGGGACAACAAACACAAGAUGAG